rnacentral:tRNA from 1 species
GCACCAUUAGCUCAGUCCGGUUAGAGCAAUUGGCUUUCCCAUUAGGUCGCUGGUUCGAAUCCAGCAUGGUGCACCA